rnacentral:rRNA from 1 species
CCCUUAGAUGUUCUGGGCUGCACGCGCGCUACACUGAUGCAUCCAACAAGUUUCCUUGGCCGAGAGGCCUGGGCAAUCUUCUUAAUAUGUAUCGUGAUAGGGAUAGAUUAUUGCAAUUAUUAAUCUUGAACGAGGAAUUCCUAGUAAACGCAGAUCAUCAAUCUGCAUUGAUUACGUCCCUGCCCUUUGUACACACCGCCCGUCGCACCUACCGAUUGGAUGUUCCGGUGAAGCCUCGGGAUGAGGACUGGUGCCUUUAUUGGCAUGAGUUGUUCAGAACUUGUCUAAACCUUAUCAUCUAGAGGAAGGUGAAGUCGUAACA